UGAAGGAAGUCCCUGUGGUGCCCGCUGAAGAGGACAUGAAGGCAGGGUUCAUCAUUUAACUACAAGUUUGAUCAACAGGAGCAGUUUGUGGUUCUUGCAGAAGCCAAACUGACAAAGGGAACCUGCUAAACGAGUUAGCCUUGAGUUACUGAUCAGAUGCUUUGGGGAAAGGAAGUUCUACAGGCAAGACUAUUGAAACAACUGAUGUACCGGUGUUAAGCAAGGUCUGUGACCAAAUUUCAUUUCCACUUAACUGUAGUGUGUUUGC